GGAUACGCGCGGAGAAGAGCCAGCGCCCGUGCACUCCCUCCGCCCCGCGCGGGGGCGGCUCCUGCUCGCCCCGGCCCCUGCCCUGGGGGCAGCCCUCGCCUCGUCCCCCGCCCCGGCGGCAAGGGGGGACGGGCUGCCCGCCCUCCUCCGGGAGAGACAGCGGCGGACGAGCCAGGGCGCAGCGCUGGGGUGAGAGUGAGCUCCGGGGAUGCUGCGGAGACGGGAGCCGAGCCCGCCGUCGUGCUGCAGCCUCCUGCAAGUGAAAAUAAUGCGGGGAUGUGGUGCGGUGAGUGCUCGCAGGUAUAACACUUCCCUCACAAAAAUGUGGGGCUUGUAACUCCAUCCCUUCCCGUCUUUGCUGGUGUUUCCUAUCAGUCACAGCACUGGGACUCCUCAUCUUGCUCUCCAGAAACCAACCCAACUGGGCUAUCUAGUUGCAGAAGUUUGCUUUCUCAUACUGGAUUUUGAUUUCCACUUUGGAAGCAAGUCAGAGACCUGUUUGGUGAGGUCAAGAUGUCUCCAGCUGCAGAUGGAACUACAGGAACAAGAAUGAGUGAUGGUCACAGCACUAUAGUGCAUGGUUAAAAGCGAUGCCUCAGUGCCAGGAUGUCUGAACUCUUCAUCUACAAGGUGGAAAGAAAAACUGAGUUCACAACUGAGAUGCUGUUGAAGGCACUGACAGAAGACAGCAUGAAAAGCUGUCACCUCUCGGAUGGAGGUGGCAAACAAUCAUCAGUGUGCGGCAGGUGGCUGAAAAGACAACUGUCUCAGACAAACCAUCAGAGCCUUCAAGGACACCAGCUGAAUCACACACCAGGUUUUCUGGAGAACACUUGUGGUGCGACUUCAGCCAUCCUUUUUCAAGCAUGCAGAGCAGCAGCUUGCCCGUUGUAAUGGUGAAGAUGAGUCUGGCAGUCAGAAGUUGAAAGGUAUUGAUUUCCUGCUGGAAAAUGGGCCACCUCAGUUUGAAAUGCUUUAUUCCUACCCCAAAGAAAACUCCCCAUCUGAUGCAGAUAUCAAAUCAUUAUUUGCACACCAGGCUGGACUUGGAAGACUUCAGUAUUUUUUUCAUAACUUCUGAGUCCUUGGUGUUUGUCACUUGGUCUGUCUUAGCUACACUGGGAGCGGCACAGCCAUGUGAUGUGACCCCAGGAGCUUGUGCUCUGGGUACCCAUCUUUGGAGGAGGGAUAAGAGUUGCUUCCCUGUGUUACUGGUUUCUGGGCUAAGUUCUCCGAUGAAGGUUGUCGUUUCUGGUAUGUGAGCUCUCAGGCUGACAGUGCUCUGCUUCUCACUCGACUCUAAGUGAAUUUUACUUACAUGGCUGUCAGGGCUUAUACCCAUAACCCCUUUUCUUUUGCUUUCCACCUGUGUGUGCAUAUGCAGUGUGAUUUCUGAGAGGCUAUAAUGUCUCUGCUAUCAGAAAGCAGAAACUUUAAUAACCUCUGCGGUUUUGUAAUCCUUUCUCUCAUUUCCUUUUAAAUUAAUCCAACCCUGUCUUGCUGUGACAUAUGAGGUACUCUGCCUAAAAGGACUUAAGUGUGAUUAGAUUACAAGGUACUUCAAAGAUGCUUCACCUUCAGUUUGUUUUGGGCUGCUUAGAAUUAGUGGAACUAUGUGGCAAUGGGCAAAAGUUAUCCCAAGCAGGAUUUUUCCCUUUGGCUGAAAUUCCAGGAUGUGCCCAAAAGCCCACAGCUAUUGUGUGCAAUAUAGUCAAGUCAGCAGGAAAUUUGGGAACUUUGCAAAUUUGUCCUCUUUUGACAUAGCAGGUGUGCUCCCUGCUUUUUAUGUGUAAAAUGCCAUGAUGCCAACACCAGAAGUUUGGGAAUAUAAUGAACACCAUAAGCACUGUAAGGCAAUGAUCCUGCUGCCACAAAAAGUCAAU